UACGGAGAGUGCAAACGUUGUUCGGAUUCACUGGGCGUAAAGGGCACGUAGGCGGCUCGGCAAAUCGGUCGUGGAAUCCCGACGCUUACCGUCGGAACGGCGGCCGAAAAUACCGGGCUAGAGGGCGGGAGGGGUCACUGGAACUCCUGGUGAAGCGGUGAAAUGCGUAGAUAUCAGGAGGAACGCCGGAGGCGAAAGCGAGUGACUGGCGCGUUCCUGACGCUGAGGUGCGAAAGCGAGGGGAGCAAACAGG
rnacentral:rRNA from 1 species